GAUGAACGCUGGCGGCGUGCCUAAUACAUGCAAGUCGAGCGAACAGACGAGGAGCUUGCUCCUCUGACGUUAGCGGCGGACGGGUGAGUAACACGUGGAUAACCUACCUAUAAGACUGGGAUAACUUCGGGAAACCGGAGCUAAUACCGGAUAAUAUAUUGAACCGCAUGGUUCAAUAGUGAAAGACGGUUUUGCUGUCACUUAUAGAUGGAUCCGCGCCGCAUUAUCUAGUUGGUAAGGUAACGGCUUACCAAGGCAACGAUGCGUAGCCGAUCUGAGAGGGUGAUCGGCCACACUAGAACUGAGACACGGUCCAGACUCCUACGGGAGGCAGCAGUAGGGAAUCUUCCACAAUAGGCGGAAGCCUGACGGAGCAACGCCGCGUGAGUGAUGAAGGUCUUCGGAUCGUAAAACUCUGUUAUUAGGGAAGAACAAAUGUGUAAGUAACUAUGCACGUCUUGACGGUACCUAAUCAGAAAGCCACGGCUAACUACGUG
rnacentral:rRNA from 1 species